AAAAUGGGAGGGUGCUAAAAAUUAGGCCCCGACUGUACAUCGGCACAUAACAAGGAAAACCACUUGAUCUGACUGCAUCUGAACCUGACGCUGAUUUCUGUUUGACUGAAUCUGAAUUUCUCUGUAGUUCAGACAGGAGUCCUGACGGCACCCAUACAUGUGUCUGGAACUAAAGGAGGAAGAGUGGAAUUAACAUGCCCAUAUCCAGAGCACCACGAAUACAUACCAAAGUACUUCUGCCGGGAGCCGUGUGGGCGGAGUGAUGUUCUUAUCACAUUAGGAAAGCCUGAUGAUGGAGUUACAGAGGGAAGAUAUUUAGCUGUGGACACCAUAAGUGCAAGGACUUUCUCAGUGAUCAUCUUUAAUCUGCGGUUGGGUGAUGCUGGAGUUUACUACUGUGGGCUUAGUCAGUGGGGGUCAGACACUAAAACCAAAGUGGUGCUGACGGUCAGUCAAGCUCCAACACCAGUGUCUCUUCCAUCCACCACUAAACCCUCCACCCAUCUACAGGAUACAACCAGCAGCACUGUACCCCCUACAGACUGUCAUCUGGAUGAUGCGUUUUGGGAUUAUUCUGGGACUGCUGUUGUGUGGUGGAUUAACACUCAUUUGGAUGCACAAGACAGCAGCUCCUAUCUGUCUGUACGUGUCUUUAAUGUACACAUCAUUCUGUACGUGUCUGUAAUGUACAUAUCAUUCUGUAUGUGUCUUUAAUGUACACAUCAUUCUGUACGUGUCUUUAAUGUACACAUCGUUCUGUACGUGUCUGUAAUGUACACAUCUUUCUGUACGUGUCCGUAAUGUACACAUCUUUCCGUAUAUUAUGUCACACAUCAUUCAAACUCAUUGUGUGUAUCUGCUCUUCUGGAGAUGCAGGUUCAUGUUCACGCUGGGAUCUGUAAAAAGCCUUGUUAUGUAUUCUUACAUUGUUCUGCUAUAUUAAUAAAAUUGAAUUUUCAUUGAACUGAA